UACGUAGGGCGCAAGCGUUGUCCGGAAUUAUUGGGCGUAAAGAGCUCGUAGGCGGCCUGUUACGUCUGCUGUGAAAUCCCGGGGCUUAACCCCGGGCGUGCAGUGGAUACGGGCAGGCUGGAGGCAGGCAGGGGAGAACGGAAUUCCCGGUGUAGCGGUGAAAUGCGCAGAUAUCGGGAGGAACACCGGUGGCGAAGGCGGUUCUCUGGGCCUGUACUGACGCUGGAGGAGACGAAGCGUGGGGAGCGAACAGG
rnacentral:rRNA from 1 species